AAUAAAGUGUCUGAUAAAAAGAGUUAUUUUGAUAGAAUAAAAAAUGUAAAGAAUUACCUUUAUUA
rnacentral:tRNA from 1 species